UUGAUUGCAAUUAAACUCGGCUCAAUCUUUUUUUUCUAAAAAAGAUUGAGCCGAAUAAAAAUAGAUCAUGAUAUGAUCAUGAGACUUGACAAAUUGAGAUUCGUCUAUUCUAUAUAUCUAGAAUAUAUAUAUUAAGGAGAUCGGAAGAG